UCCGGUUGAUCCUGCCGGACCCCACUGCUAUCGGGAUAGGAAUAAGACAUGCUAGUCAAGCGCUUUCUAGCUAAUGUGAGAGCGCGGCGUACAGCUCAGUAACACGUGGCCAACCUGCCCUUGGGACGGGAACACCCCCGGGAAUCUGGGGUUAAUUCCCGAUAGGUGAAGAAGUCUGGAAUGAAUCUUCGCUCAAAAGACGUUUAUGUCAUGCUCAUAUUCGUCGCCCAGGGAUGGGGCCGCGACCGAUCAGGUAGUUGGUGAGGCAAUGGCUCACCAAGCCUUUUACCGGUGCGGGCCGUGAGAGCGGGAGCCCGGAGAUGGGCACUGAGACAAGGGCCCAGGCCCCACGGGGCGCAGCAGUCGCGAAAACUUUGCAAUACACGAAAGUGUGACAGGGCUAUCCCGAGUGCCAUCCGCUGAGGAAGGCUUUUACCCAGUAUAAAUAGCUGGGAGAAUAAGGAGAGGGCAAGUCUGGUGUCAGCCGCCGCGGUAAUACCAGCUCUCCGAGUAGUGUGGACGUUUAUUGGGCCUAAAGCAUCCGUAGCUUGCUAGAUAAGUCCUCUGUUAAAUCCACCGAUUCAAUCGUUGGAUUGCGGGGGAUACUGUUUGGCUAGGGGACGGGAGAGGUCGACGGUAUUUCCGGGGUAGGGGUGAAAUCCUAUAAUCCCGGGAAGACCACCAGUGGCGAAGGCUGUCGACUAGAACGCGCCCGACGGUGAGGGAUGAAAGCUGGGGGAGCGAACCGGAUUAGAUACCAGGGUAGUCCCAGCUGUAAACGAUGCAGGCUAGGUGUUUGGGCGGCCACGAGCCGCCCUAGUGCCGCAGGGAAGCUGUUAAGCCUGCCGCCUGGGGAGUACGGCCGCAAGGCUGAAACUUAAAGGAAUCGGCGGGGGAGCACCACAAGGGGUGAAGCUUGCGGUUUAAUUGGAGCAACGCCGGAAAUCUCACCGGGAUCGACAGCAGUAUGAAGGCCAGAUUAAAGGUCUUGCUAGACGAGCUGAGAGGAGGUGCAUGGCCGUCGCCAGUUCGUGCCGUGAGGUGUCCUGUUAAGUCAGGCAACGAUCGAGACCCGCGUCCUCUGUUGCUACUGGUUUUGUGCCAGGCACACUGAGGAGACCGCCGCUGAUAAAGCGGAGGAAGGAGCGGGCCACGGCAGGUCAGUAUGCCCCGAAUAUCCCGGGCCACACGCGAGCUGCAAUGGCAGGUACAAU
rnacentral:rRNA from 1 species